GCUGAAGAGAGGCAGCUUUAUGCACAGGUCGCACAAGCUAUUGGCACGGAGGCGGCAGCAGAGGUUACCCCCUCACCAGCACCUCAACUCCUAUUUCUUGGUGCCAGAAGGGUGAUGCCUAUUUUGCACUUUCAGGAAUCCAAAACAAAGUUAAUCUGAUCAACGGGGAUCAAUAGAAAAGUCUACAAGCUGAAAACAAGUAAAUGGGAGUCUGCACCCGUGUGAGCUGGCCACCUCUGGAAGCAAUGUCAGCCAGUUCUUCAGCCUCCUGUGCCUUCACAUGGAAUGCCGAUAGUGGACUGGGCUGCAGAGGGCCCUUCUGUGGAUUUUUGGGGCUGAGGAAUGCAUAAGACAAGGCGGACCAGGUCCACCACCGUGAAUCACAAAUGGUUGGUUCAUCAGAAGGUGCAGUAUUGGACAGAAGACAGGAUGCAAAGAGGGGCCCUCCGGCUCGUGCUAAGGCAGCAAACCAGGCUGGCCAAAAGAGAGCAUGAAGGACUCUGAUUAUGCUGCAGCUGAUGUCAGUGCUUUUAUGGACAGGAGGAGGAGGAUGAUUUCACUCUCUACAUUUCUGUCUACCUCACAGGCUUGCAAAAAUGUAACGUGCAGUAGGACCCCUGUUGUCACUCACCAUUAACUUGUUCGGGGUGAAAAGAAUGAUUUCUUAGUAGUUUUCUCCUGACUUCUUCUACCUCUUCCCCUAAUUUCCUUACUUCAUAUUCAAUUAGAUUCUAGUUGUCAAAGAAAAUUAAUAUUAAAUAUUUAUAUGCAAUAUUUUCUGUUCCAUAUCUCUUACAGAAGGAAUUGAGGAUUGAUUGA